AGCGGUCUCGAAAAAAGGCAGCCCAGGUUCCCAGCGUGCGGCCAGGCUCCACGAAGAGCAGAGCAGACCUUCUCGUGAAACUGCAUCAGUUUUUCUAGAAGUUGCCUGAAGAACUGCUCUCUUAGAGCGAAACUGGAACUCUCUUGAGAAGAAAAGUUUCUAUGUAGCGGGCGUCCUCGAAACAUUGAAAGACAAGUGAAAAACCUCUCUGCGACCUGGGACAAAGAUUCCCGGCAAAGAAAACAGGAAACAUGAAUAACUGAGAGGAAAAAGCUGAAGAUAGUGUUUCUUUCGGUGAAGCAGGUUAUGAGAAAUCGCCCGCACACAGGGUUUAAAAGCCACGCACAGGCCCAGGACUAGGCGCAUGCUCAGACAAGACCUGGGGGAGAACUCGGGAGCUUUCAUCCGGCCGGAUCUUCCCGCUCAAGGCGGAAAACUUCGUGCUGCUGACUGGAGCGGUGGGAAAAUAUGAUAAAUGUUAAGAACAAAUAAGGAUAAAGCAGAAGAUAUUCUCUGCACUAACUUGAAACAUAAAGUAGAAGGACUGAUGCUGAAGCUGAAGCUCCAAUACUUUGUCCACCUUGAUGCAAAGAACUGACUCAUUGGAAAAGACCCUGAUGCUGGGAAAGAUUGAAGGCAGGAGGAGAAGGGGACAACUGAGGAUGAUGGUUGGAUGGCAUCACUGACUCACUGGACGUGAGCUUGAGUGAGCUCUGGGAGAUGUUGAAGGACAUGGAAGCCUGGUGUACUGCAGUCCAUGGGGUCACAAAGAGUCGGACAUGACUGAGCAGCUGAACUGAACUGAACUCCCCCAACAUGAAUGAAUCUUACUGUCUCCAUAGGUUUGCCUUUUCCAGUGUCAUACAGUUGGAAUCAUACAAUAUGUAAUUGUCUCAGAUAGGCUUAUUUCACUUAGUAAUAUGUAUUUAAAGUUCCUCAGUGUCGUGUCAUGGCUUGAUAACUCAUUUCUUUCCAGCACUGAAUAAAAUAUCAUUUCUCUUUAUACCACAGUUUAUUUUUUUACUGAAGAACAUCUUGUUUGGUUCCAAACAUUGGCGAUUGAAAAUAAAACUGUUAUAAGUGUGCAGAUUUUUGUGUGGACCCAUGUUUUCAACUCCUUUUGGUUGAGUGUGAUUGAUGGAUUAAAUGGUAAGAGUAUGUUUAGUUUUGUAAGAAACUGCCAAACUGUCUUCCAAAGUGGCUUACAUUGUGCAUUCUCAUCAGCAAUGAAUGAAUGUCCCUGUUUUUUCCACAUCCUUGCCAGUGUUUGGUGUUGUCAGUGUUCCUGAUGUUGGCUACUCUAAUAGGUGUGUCAUGGUACCUCAGUAUUUUAAUUUUGCAUUACACUGAUGACAAAUGAUGGGGAACAUCAUUUCAUAUGUGUAUUUUCUUGAAUGAGGGGUCUGUUAAGGUCUUUGACUAAUUUUUUUUUAUUAGAUUUUUUGUUUUCUUGUUGAGUAUUAAGAAUUCUUUCUGUAUUUUGAGUAGCAGUCUUUAUUGGAUGUGUCUUUUGUGAAUAUUUUCUCUGUUUUCAUUCCUGUAACAGUGUCUUUAACAGAAAGGAAAAAAAAGAAAUUAAGUUAAAUUAGGUCCAGUUUAUCAAUUCUUCUUUUCAUGGAUUGAGCCUUUGUUGUUU
ensembl:lncRNA